AGCUCCAGUAGCGUAUCUUAAAGUUGUUGCAGUUAAAAAGCUCGUAGUUGGACUUCUACAGAUUUUUUUGCCGAGUUUCACGAGUCUUCGGUUUCUAUCGUUGGCUUCGAGGAUUACUUCGUGCAAAUCUGUUUUUUGUUGUGACCUCGUCUACCCUUCAUUGGGUUGGACAAGUUUGGAUCAACUCUUUUACUUUGAGAAAAAUAGUGUGCUCAAAGCAGGCGUUUUGCCUUGAAUAUGUUAGCAUGGGAUAAUACUAAAGACUGCGCAUCUAUGUUGUUGGUUAUGGAUGUGAAGUAAUGAGUGAUGGGAACGGCUUGGGGAUUUCGGUAUUCUAGAGGGAGAGGUGAAAUUCUUGGAUCUCUGGAAGACCACCUGCUGCGAAAGCGUUGAUCAAAGACGUCUCCG
rnacentral:rRNA from 1 species